UAAAAAGACAAGUAAAUGUAUAAAAGUAAGAUGCAAAAAGUUUCUCAAUUGUUGCUGAUGUGGCUCAUAAGUAGUUUUUUUUAUCUAAACUCUUUCAGUUUCCAACUUUGCCAAACAUCGUAAUGAAUGAAAAGCAGUUGUAAACUCCUUUACUUUUACGUUGCCUAAUCGCCUUAAAGUAAUUACUAAUCCCUUAAGCUAUAUAGUAGGUCUAAUUAAAUGGAAACUUGAGACGCGAAGUAAAUAAAGGGGGAAGAGUAACGGUGACACAAUAGGUCAACGUUUAGAUACAUAGCGUGUGCAUCUCACGCGUUAGGUUAGUUUCACUGCGUUCCUCUUUACGUUGCAUUUGGUGCUUCUGUCGUUGUCGUAACGUUUGAUGAACUUAUUCUUCGGGUAACAAAGAGUUUGUUGACUUGUAAAAGAGAAUCUUGUCUUCGCUCCCCUCACGACAAUACCAAAUUUUAAGUUUUUGAUGCUUGGUUAUGAUUGCGGAAUUGCAUUGUUACACGUUUUGUCAACAAGUAUUUUCUUGCAGAGCAGACAUUACAUUUUUAGAUUCAAAUACUGUACUUUCUAAAAACUGUCGGUCAUUGUGUGCAUUUUUUCUUGCAGAGAAUACAUAUUUUUAUAUUCAAAUAUUGUAUUUUCUAACUGUCGGUCAUUAUGUUCAUCACGUCUAAGGGCAUCUCCAACCCUACUCCAUUUUUGACUCCAAACUCAAUUAUGGAGUAAAAUAUUCUCCAACCCCACUCCAUAUUCAACUUCAAAAUAGAGUAAUAGCUAGGGUUACUCCAUUUAUGGAGUAAUCUUACCCAUUACUCCAUUUUGAAGUUAAACUUUUUAUAUUUAUGAAAUAGUCCUUUUAAUUUUUAAUGUUUUUAUUUCAUACUUAAAAUAAUAUAAUAUCAUAAAAAAAUAUAAUACUCCGCAAAAGAUUAAAAUAUGCAUAAACUCAUAAAAGUCAAAACUAAGAAU
rnacentral:lncRNA from 1 species